AUACGUAGGGGGCAAGCGUUGUCCGGAAUUACUGGGCGUAAAGCGCACGCAGGCUGACUUAUAAGUCGGUAGUCUAAUGCGGAGGCUCAACUUCCGUUUAUCUAUCGAUACUGUAAGACUAGAGUAUGUGAGAGGGAAGUGGAAUUCCCGGUGUAGCGGCGAAAUGCGUAGAUAUCGGGAGGAACACCAGUGGCGAAGGCGACUUCCUGGCACAAUACUGACGCUCAUGUGCGAAAGCUAGGGUAGCGAACGGGAUUAGAUACCCCGGUAGUCCUAGCCGUAAACGAUGGAUACUAGGUGUGGGUGUCGCAGGGCAUCCGUGCCGCAGCUAACGCGUUAAGUAUCCCGCCUGGGGACUACGGUCGCAAGACUGAAACUCAAAUGAAUUGACGGGG
rnacentral:rRNA from 1 species